AGCAGAGUGGCGCAGUGGAAGCGUGCUGGGCCCAUAACCCAGAGGUCCGUGGUUUGAAACCAUGCUCUGCUA
rnacentral:tRNA from 1 species